rnacentral:rRNA from 1 species
GACCUCAAAUCAGGUAGGACUACCCGCUGAACUUAAGCAUAUCAAUAAGCGGAGGAAAAGAAACUAACAAGGAUUCCCCUAGUAACUGCGAGUGAAGCGGGAAAAGCUCAAAUUUAAAAUCUGGCGGUCUUUGGCCGUCCGAGUUGUAAUCUAGAGAAGUGUUAUCCGCGCUGGACCGUGUACAAGUCUCCUGGAAUGGAGCGUCAUANAGGGUGAGAAUCCCGUCUUUGACACGGACUGCCAGGGCUUUGUGAUGCGCUCUCAAAGAGUCGAGUUGUUUGGGAAUGCAGCUCAAAAUGGGUGGUAAAUUCCAUCUAAAGCUAAAUAUUGGCGAGAGACCGAUAGCGAACAAGUACCGUGAGGGAAAGAUGAAAAGAACUUUGGAAAGAGAGUUAAACAGUACGUGAAAUUGCUGAAAGGGAAACGCUUGAAGUCAGUCGCAUUGUCUGGGAAUCAACCUUGCUUUUGCUGGGCGUACUUUCCAGAUGAUGGGUCAGCAUCAAUUUUGACCGUUGGAUAAAGUUCAGAGGAAUGUGGCAUCUUCGGGUGUGUUAUAGCCUUUGUUCGCAUACAACGGUUGGGAUUGAGGAACUCAGCACGCCGAAAGGCCGGGUACUUGUACCACGUUCGUGCUUAGGAUGCUGGCAUAAUGGCUUUAAUCGACCCGUCUUGAAACACGGACCAAGGAGUCUAACAUGCCUGCGAGUAUUUGGGUGGAAAACCCGAGUGCGUAAUGAAAGUGAAAGUUGAGAUCCCUGUCAUGGGGAGCAUCGACGCCCGGACCAGACCUUUUGUGACGGAUCUGCGGUAGAGCAUGUAUGUUGGGACCCGAAAGAUGGUGAACUAUGCCUGAAUAGGGUGAAGCCAGAGGAAACUCUGGUGGAGGCUCGUAGCGAUUCUGACGUGCAAAUCGAUCGUCAAAUUUGGGUAUAGGGGCGAAAGACUAAUCGAACCAUCUAGUAGCUGGUUCCU